AACGAACGCUGGCGGCAGGCCUAACACAUGCAAGUCGAACGGGAGCUUCGGGCUUAGUGGCGCACGGGGGGGUAACGCGUGGGGACCUGCCCUUAGGUUCGGAAUAACGCGGCGGAAGGGGUGCGAAUACCGGCUCUUGUAUUCCGUCCAAAGAUUUAGUGCCUUUGGAUGGGCCUGGGUUGGAUUACCUAGUUGGUAGGGUAAAUGCCUACCAAGGGUACGAGGCAUAGCUGGUUUGAGAGGAGGGUCAGCGACACUGGGACUGAGACACGGUCCAGAAUCCUACGGGAGGGAGGAGUGGGGAAUCCUGGCCAGUGGGCGAUAGCCAGAUGCAGUUAGGCCGGGUGAGUGAUGAAGGCCUUAGGGUUGUAAAGCUAUUUUACCCGGGAUGAUAAUGACAGUACCGGGAGAAUAAGCUCCGGCUAACUCCGUG
rnacentral:rRNA from 1 species